rnacentral:lncRNA from 1 species
UAUUCUAUUAUUAAUUAUUUAUUAGUUAUUUAGUUAUUAGAAAGAUUUCUUAUAAUCAUUAAAAUUCGCAUAUAAUUAUACUAAGUGUAUCUAAGUGAGUAUAUAUAAUAUAAUAAAGUGCAAAGAGCGUAGAACUAACUAAAUGACUUAUUCAUAUUUCUACAUGAAAUAUGAUAAUCCAUUUAUUUGUUAUUCUUCUUUUAUUAUCUUUUUUUUCUUGUCUUAUAACUUUCAUUUUUCUUUUUUCAUUUUUUUAACUUUACUUUAACAGAAAAUA